CAUUUAGCCCAGACAAAGCUGUCACAUUCCUAUGCUGCUCUCCAAUUAUCAAUGGCCAUCGACACUUACAGAAAAAAAGAAGGAUUUAUCACAGAGGUAGCAGAAGACGAUAUUUCGUCAACAAUCUGGAAUCACUGACAGACGAGAGACACAACAGCGAACGUCAUGCUGCCUUCCGCUCAUUUUUAUCACCUUGGGUAUUUCGUCUGUUGUGAUGCUGCGGUGGUGGCUUUUUGGUGAAGACUAGAUACAAAUUUGGAGGGGAGAAUAUUACGUGAGUAUCAAAGCCUUUUCUUGUUAGUUCUUUCAGUUAAGUGUCAACGAGCCAGAGCGGACAUUGUUUUCAUGUUAUCGUAAACGUUUCUUUUUU